CGCAGGUGGGUUAGCAAGUCAGAGGUGAAAUCCUACAGCUUAACUGUAGAACUGCCUUUGAUACUGCUAAUCUUGAGUAAGGAAGAGAGAGAUGGAAUUCCAGGUGUAGUGGUGAAAUACGUAGAUAUCUGGAAGAACACCAGUGGCGAAGGCGGUCUCUUGGUCCUAUACUGACACUGAGGCGCGAAAGCGGUGGGGGAGCGAACA
rnacentral:rRNA from 1 species